rnacentral:tRNA from 1 species
GCCGUGAUCGUAUAGUGGUUAAUAAUCUGCGUUGUGGCAGCAACAACCUCGGUUCGAAUCCGAGUCACUGCA